ensembl:lncRNA
NNNNNNNNNNNNNNNNNNNNNNNNNNNNNNNNNNNNNNNNNNNNUCAGACCUACUGUGUCCCUGGCAGGUCCAUUAGGGAUAAUAUUUGCCUAAUUAGAGAUAUUUUGGAAAUCUCUAAGGCUCAGGGACUUGAUUUUGGGCUCAUUUCUAUUGAUCAAGAGAAGGCCUUUGAUAGAGUUGAGCACCAAUAUCUAUGGCACACUCUGGAGACUUUUGGUUUUGGGCCAUAUUUUAUUAAAAUGAUUAAAGUACUGUACCAGGACAUUGAAAGUGUGCUGAAAAUUAAUGGCGGGCUGAGCGCUCCAUUCAAGGCUCUUCGGGGCAUAAGGCAGGGCUGUGGAUUGUCUGGUAUGCUCUAUUCCAUUUCCAUUGAACCACUGCUAAAUAAGCUUCGCUUUAAGAUUGAGGGCAUCAAGUUGGGACUUGAGCAUCCUAUUCAUCAUCGUUUAUCAUCUUAUGCUGAUGAUGCAAUAUUAUUGGUGAAGGGGCAGGCUGAUAUUGAUAGUUUAAUUUCUGUUGUUAAUGAUUUUGGGGCUUUAUCGUCAGCUAAGGUGAAUUGGGGUAAAAACGAGGCUUUGGCAGUGGGGCAGUGGGUUGGAGGGCUGCCUCGGCUGCCACCUGACAUGUCUUGGAAAAGAGGGGGAAUAAGGUACCUUGGGGUUUUCCUUGGGGAUGAAGCCACACAGCAGAAAAAUUGGGAUGGAGUGUGUGAAAACAUGAAAGGCCGUUUAGCGAGAUGGAAAUGGAUACAUGGACGGAUGUCUUUCAGGGGUAGAGUGCUUGUUAUUAAUAACCUGGUUGCAUCAGUGCUGUGGCAUAGACUCUCAUGUAUGGACCCUCCUAUAGGCCUACUAUCUCGGCUGCAAGCAAUUUUAGUGGACUUCUUUUGGGACCGUCUGCACUGGGUCCCACAAGGUGUGCUCUUCCUACCCAGGGAAGAAGGGGGGCAAGGUCUGGUGCAUCUUGCAAGCAGACUUGCUGCUUUUCGUCUGCAAUUUAUUCAGAAGUUUCUGACGAGUUCUGUGGACUUAGUGUGGAAAGAGGUGGCAAACACCAUUCUACGCACUGUUGAUGGACUGGGUCUGGACACGGCUCUUUUUCUUGUGGAUUAUAAACAGUUGCGUUUAAAUGGAUUACCUAUUUUCUAUCGUGGACUUUUUAAAGUGUGGGGACAUUUUAAGUUUCAAAGACUGGAGAAUAACUCGCUCCACUGGCUGCUUGAGGAGCCUUUGAUCAGAGGUUCUCGUCUGGAUGUUUCGGGUGACGGUGCCAUGGGUCUCAGUCAGAUGCUCUGUGCUUCGAGGAUGGUAAAACUGCGGAACUUGGUGGAUUUUGCUGGAUCGGACUUAGCUGAUGUCCAGGCUGUUGCAUCUGUGCUUGGGCAUAGAUCCAUUCGUCACACCAGGAUGAUUGUGGAUGCAUGGAAGGACAGACUCUCCCUAGAAGAACUGUCCUUACUACGUGAUUAUGGAAAUGGGAUUGUAGUGCCUAACAUAAUAGAUCCUUUCCCUAAGACUGCUCUUACACCAGUUAUGGACAGUGCAUCAGGUCCAUUGUUGGAGCUUUCUAGCCUCCAAGACUUGGACCUUCACACUGUGUCUGGCAAGAUUUUAUACAGAUGUUGUGUAAAGGUUUUUAAUAAGGCAGUGUUGAAUGGUCGGCCUGACACAGUGUGGAGGGACACGCUGGGGGUGGAG